rnacentral:tRNA from 1 species
UGCCCUGUAGUAUAAUGGUAGUACGUCAGAUUCUGGCUCUGAAUGUCAGGGUUCAAAUCCUUGCAGGGCAACAA